AUGCAAACUCGAUCACUGGCUCUGUGUGAUGAGGCAGAAGCAAAGGGAACCAGGUUUGCUAAAAUAAUUGUGGUGAUAGAAAUGUUUUAGCCUCAGAAGCUGCUGAGGUGGCCCAUUCUAGCCCAGUACAGUG
ensembl:snoRNA SNORA66 Small nucleolar RNA SNORA66